rnacentral:rRNA from 1 species
AGAGUUUGAUCCUGGCUCAGAUUGAACGCUAGCGGGAUGCUUUACACAUGCAAGUCGAACGGCAGCAUGAGAGAGCUUGCUCUCUUGAUGGCGAGUGGCGGACGGGUGAGUAAUGUAUCGGAACGUGCCCGGUAGUGGGGGAUAACUACGCGAAAGCGUAGCUAAUACCGCAUAUUCUCUACGGAGGAAAGAGGGGGAUCGUAAGACCUCUUGCUACCGGAGCGGCCGAUAUCAGAUUAGCUGGUUGGUGGGGUAACGGCCUACCAAGGCGGUGAUCUGUAGCUGGUUUGAGAGGACGACCAGCCACACUGGGACUGAGACACGGCCCAGACUCCUACGGGAGGCAGCAGUGGGGAAUUUUCGACAAUGGGGGGAACCCUGAUCGAGCCAUCUCGCGUGUGGGACGAAGGCCUUCGGGUUGUAAACCACUUUUCUCAACGAAGAAAAGUCUUAGGCUAAUACCUUAAGAUGCUGACGGUAGUUGAGGAAUAAGCACCGGCUAACUACGUGCCAGCAGCCGCGGUAAUACGUAGGGUGCGAGCGUUAAUCGGAAUUACUGGGCGUAAAGGGUGCGCAGGCGGCUUGGAAAGAACGGUGUGAAAUCCCGGGGCUCAACCUCGGAACUGCACUAUUAACUGCCAAGCUAGAGUAUGUCAGAGGGGGGGUGGAAUUCCGCGUGUAGCAGUGAAAUGCGUAGAUAUGCGGAGGAACACCGAUGGCGAAGGCAGCCCCCUGGGAUGGUACUGACGCUCAGGCACGAAAGCGUGGGUAGCGAACAGGAUUAGAUACCCUGGUAGUCCACGCCCUAAACGAUGUCAACUAGCUGUUGGGCCGGUUACGGCUUAGUAGCGCAGCUAACGCGUGAAGUUGACCGCCUGGGGACUACGGUCGCAAGACUAAAACUCAAAUGAUUGACGGA